GACGAAAUGUUAUGCUGCUUAUCGCUGACUUCACUGAUGGUGUUGGCAAUGCAACCUUUACAUUUUAAUUUGAUGUACGCAGUAGGAGAUUUAAUAAUUUGGAGAUCAGCUAAUGUGUUUCGAGCAAGUUUUACAUUGUGGCAAGCAUCGGAAUAAUUGGCAUGAGCUCCAUCACACGUAACACUCCAUACCCGGAUACCUGAUUGCUGUGACAAUAUUAAUGCUGUUUUUAUCAGUUCCGCUUGCACUACAGCAUUUAUUUUAUUCACGAAAAAAUAACCCACCGGC